UGGUUGCAGGAGCAGGAAAUUUCCAGACAAGAAAUGACAUACCACUUAUGGGUUUCGCUGUGUAUUUUAAGGUGAAAAUUUCUCAGCAGCAAGUCAAGGCAUCAUGAAGAGGCUAGCGGGCACUGUGCUGGGGCUUUUGUUUGCCCGGGUUUGCUGUGUCAGAGGGGUGGACGUGGAGCAGAGUCCCCCAGCCCUGACUCCACAGGAGGGAGCCAGCUCUACGCUGUGGUGUAAUUUCUCCACCUUGGCAGAGAGUGUGCAGUGGUACCUUCAGAGCCCUGGGGGCCACCUCAUCCACCUCAUUUACAUUCCUUCAGGAACAAAGCAGGAAGGAAGAUUAAAGGCCACGACAGUCCCUAGAGAACGCCGCAGCUCACUGCACAUUUCCUUUUCGCAGACCACAGACUCAGGCACUUACUACUGUGCUGCGCAGCACGGUGCUCCCCGGGCUCCUGCGGCCUCGACACGAACCCUCCCGGGGCUCAGCCCCUCCUCCAGCCACAGUCACACCGUGGGCCCCACAGGACAUUUGCAGUGCUUCUUACUGGCCUUCCAGAUUUGAGGAAGGAAUUUCCUCUCAAUCUGUAUCUUCUUCUGCACUAGAGUCUCAAACUUGUAGGUAGGAGAGUAUCUAUUAAUAGAUGUGAAAGUGAAAGGAGCUCAGUCGGGUCCGACUCUUUGAGACUCCAUGGACUACACAGCCCAUGGAGUUCUCCAGGCCAGAAUACUGAAGUGGGUCGCCUUUCCCUUCUCCAGGGGAUCUUUAUUACCAGCUGAACCACAAGGGAAGCCCAAGAAUACUGGAGUGGUUAGCCUAACCCUUCUCCAGCAGAUCUUGCCAACCCACGAAUGGAACCGAGGUCUCCCGCAUUACAGGCGGAUUCUUUACCAACUGAUCUAUGAGGGAAGCCUUAUCAAAAUAAAUAUUUAGCUACAAUAUGCUCUACUCCAAAAUGGUAAGAAGUGAAAGGAACUAAAAGAAUAGAAAAGUGACUCCAAGAAGAUGUUAUUCAGCUAACGGCUGUCUCAAGAAUGUCCAUCCAAACCCGCCACCAUGAUGUGUCCCAACAGACAAUUGCAGAUACAUCUCAUCCUACUACUGCAGCACAGCAAACGAAAAAUACUUAUAUGCUCAAUGGUUCAUAUGAACUUGGUCAUUUAAUUAAAACAAAUUUAUCCUCUUUCAAUUCUGGAUGCAAGAAGUCUGAAAUCAGUUUCACUGGCUACAGUUAAGGUAUUGGCAGGGUCAAUUCCUUUCCUUCCUGCAUGUUACAUAAUUUUAUUUAUAAUAUGGAAAAAUACACAUAAUUUUUGUACCUCUUAAUCCCCUUCACCUAUUUCACUCCUACACCCACCCCUUUCCCCUCUAGUAACCAGUAGCUCAUUCCCUAUAUCUCUGAGUCUGUUUCUGUUCUAUUUGUUAGUUUUGCAAUUUAUAAUCCAUAUAUAAGUGAAAACAUAUAGUAUUUGUCUUUCUCUGUCUGACUUAUUUUGCUAAGUAUAAUACCCUCCAGGUUUUUCAUGUUGUCUCAUGUGAUGAGAUUUUAUCCUUUUAUGAUUAAGUAAUAUUUCAUUGUGUGUGUGUGUGUGUGUGUGUGUGUGUGUGUGUGUGUGUGUGUAUAUUCAUAUGGAUGAAUACUGAUUGCUUCCAUAUCUUGGCUAUUAGAAAUAAUGCUCCUGUGAAUAUUGGGGUACAUAUACAUUUUCAAAUUAGUGUUUUUGUUUUCUUCUGAUAGAUAUCCAGGAAUGGAAUUGCUGGAUGAUAUAGUAUUUAUAUUUUUAAUUUUUGAAGAACCUUUAUGCUGUUUUAAAUAGUGGCUGCACCAGUUUACUUUCCCGGCAAGGGGGCACAAAGUGUCCCUUUUCUUCACAGCCUCAGCAAUACUCAUUACUUCUUGGCUUUUUGAUGAUAGUAUUCUGAUUGGGGUGAGGUGAGAUCUCACUGGGUUUUGAUUUGCAUUUACCUGAUGAUUAGAGAUGUUGAAUGUCUUUUCAUGUGUCUGCUGCCCAUCUAUUUGUUUCUUUGGGAAAAUGUCUAUUUAGGUCCUCUGCCUUUUAAAAAAUCAGAUUAUUUAUAGUUUUGAUACUGCAUAUAAAUUUCUUUAUAUAUUUUGGACGUUAACCCCUUAUUGACUAAUGGUUUGCUAGUAUCUUUUUCUGUUUGAUAGGCUUUUUGCAUUUUAAUAGUUUUAUUCCAAUUUGGAUGCCUUCUAUUUCUUUUUCCUACAUGACUGCUAUGACAAGGACUUCAGGUACUAUGUUAAAUGGAAAUGGUGAGAGUAGGCAUCCUCGUCUUGUUCCUCAUCUUAGAGAAAAGAUUUCAGGUUUUACCAUCAAAUAUGAUAUUAAUUGUGUAUUUGUUGUAAAUGGCCUUUGUUAUUUUGAAGUGUGUUCCCAUUAUACCAAGUUUAUUAAGAGUUUUUAACAUGACUGUAUGCUGAAUUUUGUCAAAUGCUUUUUCUUUGUCUGUUGAGAUAAUUAUAUAAGUUUUUAUCCUUCAUGCUAUUAAUGUAUAUCAUGUUGAUUGAUUUGCAAAUAUUGAACCAUCCUUGUAUACCUAGACUAUAUCCCACUUGGCAUUGAUAUAUGAUUCUUUCAUAAAUUGUUGAAUUAAGUUUUCUAACUUUAUUCAGUCCUAAAGGAAUUUAGUCUUGAAUAUUCAUUGGAAGGACUAAUGCUGAAGCUGAAACUCCAAUACUUGGGCCACCUGAUGCAAAGAACUGAUUCAUUAGAAAAGACCCUGCUGCUGGGAAAGGCUGAAGGCAGGAAGAGAGGGGACAACAGAGGAUGAGAUCAUUGGAUGGCAUCACUGACUUGAUGGAAAUGAGUUUGAGCAAGCUCCAGGAGUUGGUGAUGGACAGGGAAGCCUGGCGUGCUUCAGUCCUUGGGGUCACAAAGAGUCAGGCAUGACUGAGCAGCUGAACUGACUGAAUUGAAGUUUGCUAAUAUUUUGUUGCAGAUUUUUUAAUCUAUGUUCAUUCAGGAAACUGACUUUUUUUGUAGUUUUGUUGUCUAGUUUUGGCAUCAGGGUAAUGAAGGCUUCAUUGAAUGAGUUUGGUAAUAUUUUCUUACCUUCAAUUUUAUGGAAAAAUUUGAGAAGGAUGGGACCUAACUAUUCUUUAAAUGUUUGGAGAAUUACCCUGUGAAGCCAUAGAGUCCUCUACAUCAGGAAUCAACAAAAUAUGGCCCAUGGACCAGUCCAUUCAGCCAUUUACUUUGUAAAUAAAUUUUGUUGGAACAUAAGAAAUCUUGUUUAUCUAUGUAUUAUCAAUAAAUUAUUUCAUGAAACAA